GUGCUCGCUUCAGCAGUACAUAUACUAAAAUUGGAACGACACAGAGAAGAUUAGCAUGGCCCCUGUAGAAAGAUGACAUGCAAAUUCGUGAAGCAUUCCAUAUUUUU